rnacentral:sRNA from 1 species
GACGACCUAUUUCAAUAUUAUGUGUUUGAAAGGCACUGCAUGGGAACUGACACUGUCCUGUGAUGUUGUACAUAUUGUGAUAUCUACAUAAAUGGAGCUACCUGCCUGACAAGGUGUUUUCAGAGUACGAAACCUUGUCGGGAGUGGGCCGUCGAAACAAUGUGGGAGGGAAUGCCAUCGACCACAGCAGCCGAGCACAUUGGAUUGAAUCCAAAUACCUACAUCCAAGGCCGCAUCAAACGGUACAUACACAUCGCCUUGGCUGUGAUAUAGUCCUUGGCAUCCAAAUCUAUCAGUCCCAUUUCCCCGACAACCUUCCAUCUUUUCCUGCACCUAACUUCGCUCUUCAGGAUAAGAUCUAACUCGGAACCCUAUUACUCAGCAAAGACCAGUGGUUUAAGCAGAAAUCAAAGUUCGGAGGAGACUAGGUCAGGGAAGCACAGUCGAAGGGUGCGAAGACUGCUGGUAAGUUCACCCCAUUUUUCCGUUUUGACUUUUCCAGCUGCAACGUAUCUAGUAAAAAUCAACCCAUAUACUGGAGGCCUAAGCUUUCUAUUCAUCUUUCUGCGAAGGCAUUAGCACAGCUUGCGUAAUUGGAAUGGGAACCAGGGACCGAAGUAUGCUGGAGAGCGCAAGGCAAGAACAUAGAUGUAUGUACAGCACAAUACCACUGU